rnacentral:rRNA from 1 species
ACUAAGUUUCAACAACGGAUCUCUUGGCCCUCGCAUCGAUGAAGAACGCAGCGAAAUGCGAUAAGUAAUGUGAAUUGCAGAAUUCAGUGAAUCAUCGAAUCUUUGAACGCACCUUGCGCUCCUUGGUAUUCCUUGGAGCAUGCCUGUUUGAGUAUCAUGAAAU